UACGGAGGGGACUAGCGUUGUUCGGAAUUACGGGGCGUAGAGCGCGCGUAGGCGGAUUAGUAAGUCAGAGGUGAAAUCCCAGGGGUUAACCUUGGAACUGCCUUUAAUACUGCUAGUCUUAAGUUCGAGAGAGGUGAGUGGAAUUCCGAGUGUAGAGGUGAAAUUCGUAGAUAUUCGGAGGAACACCAGUGGCGAAGGCGGCUCACUGGCUCGAUACUGACGCUGAGGUGCGAAAGUGUGGGGAGCAAACAGG
rnacentral:misc_RNA from 1 species